GGGUUGUGAGGUUAAGCGACCAAGCGUACACGGUGGAUGCCCUGGCAGUCAGAGGCGAUGAAGGACGUGCUAAUCUGCGAAAAGCGCCGGCGAGGUGAUAUGAACCCUUGACCCGGCGAUGUCCGAAUGGGGAAACCCAGUGUGAUUCGUCACACUAUCGUUAGCUGAAUACAUAGGCUAACGAGGCGAACCGGGGGAACUGAAACAUCUAAGUACCCCGAGGAAAAGAAAUCAACCGAGAUUCCCCCAGUAGCGGCGAGCGAACGGGGAGGAGCCCAGAGCCUGAAUCAGCUUGUGUGUUAGUGGAAGCGUCUGGAAAGUCGCACGGUACAGGGUGAAAGUCCCGUACACGAAAACGCACAGGCUGUGAGCUCGAUGAGUAGGGCGGGACACGUGGUAUCCUGUCUGAAUAUGGGGGGACCAUCCUCCAAGGCUAAAUACUCCUGACUGACCGAUAGUGAACCAGUACCGUGAGGGAAAGGCGAAAAGAACCCCGGCGAGGGGAGUGAAAAAGAACCUGAAACCGUGUACGUACAAGCAGUGGGAGCCUCUUUUAUGGGGUGACUGCGUACCUUUUGUAUAAUGGGUCAGCGACUUAUAUUCUGUAGCAAGGUUAACCG
rnacentral:rRNA from 1 species